GACGAUGGAGAGUUUGAUCCUGGCUCAGGAUGAACGCUGGCGGCGUGCCUAAUACAUGCAAGUCGGACGGAGCGCUUCGGCGCUCAGUGGCGAACGGGUGAGUAGCACAUGGGCAACCUGCCCUUCAGAGGGGGACAACAGCUGGAAACGGCUGCUAAGACCGCAUAGGCGCGGACGGGACAUCCCGUCCACGUUAAACGUCCUUUCG
rnacentral:rRNA from 1 species